rnacentral:tRNA from 1 species
CCAGGUAGCUUAAUGGUAAAGCAUCCAACCAGCAAUUGGGGGAUCUGGGUUCGAGUCCCGGCCUGG